UGAGGAAUAUUGGUCAAUGGACGCAAGUCUGAACCAGCCAAGUCGCGUGCAGGAUGACGGCCCUAUGGGUUGUAAACUGCUUUUAUAUGGGGAUAAAGUGGGGAACGUGUUCCCUUUUGCAGGUACCAUAUGAAUAAGGACCGGCUAAUUCCGUGCCAGCAGCCGCGGUAAUACGGAAGGUUCGGGCGUUAUCCGGAUUUAUUGGGUUUAAAGGGAGCGUAGGCCGUUUGGUAAGCGUGUUGUGAAAUGUAGGAGCUCAACUUCUAGAUUGCAGCGCGAACUGUCAGACUUGAGUGCGCACAACGUAGGCGGAAUUCAUGGUGUAGCGGUGAAAUGCUUAGAUAUCAUGAAGAACUCCGAUUGCGAGGGCAGCUUACGGGAGCGCAACUGACGCUGAAGCUCGAAGGUGCGGGUAUCGAACAGG
rnacentral:rRNA from 1 species